rnacentral:rRNA from 1 species
UACGUAGGGGGCGAGCGUUGUCCGGAGUUACUGGGCGUAAAGAGCUCGUAGGCGGUCUGUCGCGUCGGCUGUGAAAACCCGGGGCUCAACCCCGGGCCUGCAGUCGAUACGGGCAGACUAGAGUGCGGUAGGGGAGACUGGAAUUCCUGGUGUAGCGGUGAAAUGCGCAGAUAUCAGGAGGAACACCGGUGGCGAAGGCGGGUCUCUGGGCCGUAACUGACGCUGAGGAGCGAAAGCGUGGGGAGCGAACAGG